CAGCGCUGCAAGUGGCGAUCGUGUUUAUUUGGCCUAAAGCGUCCGUAGCUGGUUAAGCAAAUCUUUUGUGAAAUUGUUUCGCUCAACGAAACAGCGUGCAGGAGACACUACUUAACUAGGGACCGGGAGGAGCUAGAGAUAUGCUGGGGGGAGCGGUAAAAUGCUAUAAUCCUCAGUAGAUCACCUGUGGCGAAGGCGUCUUGCUAGAACGGAUCCGACGGUGAGGGACGAAAGCCAGGGGAGCGAUCCGGAUUAGAUACCCGAGUAGUCC
rnacentral:rRNA from 1 species